AAGCCUAAGCCUAAGCCUAAGCCUAAGCCUAAGCGUAAGCCUAAGCCUAAGCCUAAUCCUAAGCCUAAGCGUAAGCCUAAGCCUAAGCGUAAGCCUAAGCCUAAGCGUAAGCCUAAGCCUAAGCCUAAGCCUAAGCCUAAGCCUAAGCCUAAGCCUAAGCCUAAGCCUAAGCCUAAGCCUAAGCGUAAGCCUAAGCCUAAGCCUAAGCCUAAGCCUAAGCCUAAGCCUAAGCCUAAGCCUGAGCCUAAGCCUAAGCCCCCC
rnacentral:sRNA from 1 species